rnacentral:tRNA from 1 species
CCUGGUGGUGCAAACGGGUAAGCACUCAGCUGCUAACUGAAAGGUUGGUGGUUCAAACCCACCCAGCAGCU